CUCCUACGGGGCGCAGCAGUGGGGAAUAUUGCACAAUGGGGGAAACCCUGAUGCAGCGACGCCGCGUGAGUGAAGAAGUAUUUCGGUAUGUAAAGCUCUAUCAGCAGGGAAGAAAAUGACGGUACCUGAUUAAGAAGCCCCGGCUAACUACGUGCCAGCAGCCGCGGUAAUACGUAGGGGGCAAGCGUUAUCCGGAUUUACUGGGUGUAAAGGGAGCGUAGACGGUGAUGCAAGUCAGAAGUGAAAGCCCGGGGCUCAACUCCGGGACUGCUUUUGAAACUGUGUGGCUGGAGUGCAGGAGAGGG
rnacentral:rRNA from 1 species